rnacentral:lncRNA from 1 species
AGGUAUUGUUGACAAACAUCAUCACCCGCAUGAGGCUAGAAAGCAGUUACGCCAAAGGCCAUAGAUCUGGGCUCGCGCUGCGGAUGCCAAGACAUCAGCUUCUGAAAGUGGCUAAAGCACAUCAUUGCCAACGGUGUUGCUGGCAGUUAUUGGGCAGAGACAAUGAUGGGCUGCUCCAGGACGCCCAGGCUCCUGGUGAGCUGGCUGUGUGCCACAGAGGACCCAAGACUGGCCCUUGUCCUUACCACCCCAUGCUCCUUUCACAGUCCUCUCUGGCUCCCACUGUAUGGGAUCACCAGUGAGCGGAGACUCAGGGUAGGAGGAGUUAUUCACUUCUCCUGGAGGUCAAAGGUGGCUGAGAACAUGGCCUGUGGGAUGCCUCGCCCUGCAGCCCCUGCAUAUCUGGCCCCCAGCUCCAGCCCUGACGAGGGGCAACUGGCCAGGACCCUAGAGGCCAUGCUAUCCACACCCUCCAUCCCACGUCUCUCUAAUGCUAUUUGGUGCCCUGGAGGGAGAUGAACUCCCUCAGCAAAUGGAGGUGUGGUCUUGAUACCUUUUUUCUUUCCACUGACCCAUUUUCGUAUUUGAAAACACAGCCUUCUAAUCAUACCCAAAACAUUUGUUGGAGGUUGCUGUAAGAAAGGCUGGCCUCCUCAGAUUGAGAGUCAGUGCUGCCCGUUGGGCUGGGCCAAGCAGCAUCCCCUUGGGGAGAGAGUUUAAAGCAUUUGCAGUUUAUAGUUGUCUGUUGUAUUUAGAAACCCGAGCAUCCCAGAGUCAUAAAUUACCUUGAACUAGUUUGCUAACCCCCGUGUGACUCGGUGCAACCGCUCUUCAAAGGCGGCCAAUUACAUAACUGGCUGUGUGCAGCAGUGGCCCUUCAGCAAGGUCAGGGCAGAGCCGGGCCUGGCAAGGGCGCCUGCUGCCCUGGACCUCAGGACCAAUGCAGGGAGAUGCUGCAGGUUUGUUCAGUUUCUGGUCUGCCUCGCUGACAUUUCCGUGGAAACUCACCCCCAGCAAGCAGCAAGGGUUUAUGAAUUAUCCAGGCUGGAUUCUUAUUCCCAGAGCAUGGUGAUGGAAUCUUUGCCAUUUAAAAAGGGCAGAGAGUGUGACCUGGUCCAGCCACUUCUGUAAUAUCCCUGCUAAGAGAACCAAGAGAUCAUCCAGCACCUGCUUGCACCCUUCCAGGAAUGGGGAGCUCAUCACUGCUGGAGACAUUCUACACCAACACGAGUUAGGGUCCUCCUGCUUCCACUUCUGUCUUCUGGGACACAGUCUGAAUCCAAGAAUCGAGACAGCCUGGACAGAGUGAGGGGCAGUGAUGGGAAUGGCCCCUCUAGCCUUUCCUCCACUGCUCCUGCCCCUCUGGGGCCAACUGGUUAGACAUAUGGUGUUACCUCUGUGCUUCAGGUUCAUUCAGGCCAUGUCGAUGUUGAUGUCAAAUUUUAAUAUGAAACAAUCACAAGAGAAAUAUGUCUCAUUUUCUUAUCUUUAAACACAGCUUCAACCCCCUCCCUACUUCCUGUACUCAGCAGAGAGGUGAUCUGUGCAUUCGGGGGUUGUGGUGGGGGAG